UACCAACUGAGCUACAUCCCUACUCC
rnacentral:piRNA from 1 species